rnacentral:rRNA from 1 species
ACUCCUACGGGAGGCAGCAGUAGGGAAUCUUCCACAAUGGACGAAAGUCUGAUGGAGCAACGCCGCGUGAGUGAAGAAGGGUUUCGGCUCGUAAAACUCUGUUGUUAAAAGAAGAACAUAUCUGAGAGUAACUGUUCAGGUAUUGACGGUAUUUAACCAGAAAGCCACGGCUAACUACGUGCCAGCAGCCGCGGUAAUACGUAGGUGGCAAGCGUUGUCCGGAUUUAUUGGGGCGUAAAGCGAGCGCAGGCGGUUUUUAAGUCUGAUGUGAAAGCCUUCGGCUCAACCGAAGAAGUGCAUCGGAAACUGGGAAACUUGAGUGCAGAAGAGGACAGUGGAACUCCAUGUGUAGCGGUGAAAUGCGUAGAUAUAUGGAAGAACACCAGUGGCGAAGGCGGCUGUCUGGUCUGUAACUGACGCUGAGGCUCGAAAGUAUGGGUAGCAAACAGGAUUAGAUACCCUGGUAGGAUAGCG